ensembl:lncRNA TMEM132D-AS1 TMEM132D antisense RNA 1
ACGAGAUCUGAUGGGUUUAUCCGGUGUUUCUGCUUUUGCUUCCUCCUCAUUUUUCUCUUGCUGCCACCACGUGAGAAGUGCCUUUCGCCUCCCGCCAUGAUUCUGAGGCCUCCCUAGCCAUGGGGACCUGUAAGUCCAAUGAAACCUCUUUUUGUUCCCCGUUUUGGGUAUGUCUUUAUCAGCAGCGUGAAAACGGACUAAUACACCCUCUCCCUACCAGCGGGUGUAGUCUGAUGAGGUCUAUGCGGCAGCGUUGGGUGGCAGCCAUGGAGGAAUGCUGUUGAAAUGUCCCUUCUGUCCUCAGGGGCCUUCAGAAGCCACCUGGUCAGUGUCCGAGCAUGGCCAAGGUGCAGGGUGGCUGCUGGGACUCCAUGCAAGGCUCCUCUAUGGGCAACCUCUGCGGCAGCAUUUCCUGCUUGGCUGCCCAAGGAUUCCCAGUGCUUCCUGCAGUCAGGCACUUCCUGCCCGGUUCUCCCUCCUUCCCAUCCUCCUUUCCCAGGGACCAGACCUGCAUCGCAUCCUGAAGCUCAGCCUGCCUACUCCUUCUCCAUCUUUUCUUUAUCCUUCACAACUGCAGUCCUCAAUUAAUCUCUGGUGCACUUAACUCUGUCUGCUUCCUGAAGAUGCUCAUAGAUUCUGAGGAUUCCCCAUGUGCUGUGAUGUGAGAGUUAGGGGCGAGGGAGGAAAACAGCCAGCUCCACUACCUGUCUACCCUCCCUCCCGACCAUUGAGAAAGUUCCCUGUUAGAGAUUCAUUCCUUUGGACCAUGAAGCCUUUUGAUUCCUAUUAACCUUGAGUGAGUCACGCUUAAGCCUUUUAAAAAAUUUUCUGAGUUUUUGUUUGUGAAAUAUAACAUAUAUACCAAUGAACAUGAGAUAUAUAAAUGCGUUGUAUGAAUAAUUAGAAAGCAAACUAUAUUCCAGCAAGCGAAAACAUAACACACUGCCCCAGAAGCACCCACAAUCCACGAGUAAGCACCUCCCUCCCCCUGAGGUGCAUAAGUAAGGAGAGGAGGGGCAGAGGAGCUGCCAGGGGAAGGACCAAGGAUGUGCUCUAUAGGUCAGCCCCCUGGCUCUGCCUCUCCUUGUUGGCAGAGAUCAGCCUGAGGGCCGCGCCGCACACCACAGGCCCAUGACCCUCCAUCGGAGUCACCGGGCGCUGGCUGAACAAGCACCUUCAGUGAGCUCUGGAUUACAACACAGCUAUGAAAAGAAGCCAGCCGGUGCUCUCCCUACCCAUAUGGAGAGAUUGCCAGGCAGAUUCCAAAGUGGAAAAGUCAGAGGCAAUACAGGAGGGCCUGUGUGCCCAGCUCCCACUGUGAAAACCAACCCAGCUGAUGGGGAUUCUUCUCUAUUGCUUUGUAGGUCGUCGCUGCCCUCAGCCUCCAGAUGCAGCCCCCCUGCCACCUUCAGGACCCCUGGCUCUCCCCUGGACUCAGUAGCGAAAGGGUUUAUGUGCUCGGAGGGAGACCUUCAGGAAUCUGUGCAUAGAAUGCCAUAGUGCAGAGGAAAGUAAGACUAUGCAGUUGUAUUUGACUUAAAACCUCCGGAAAGAUAAAUAGGGAAGCAACAAAACCUACAGGGAACAGGGGAGGAAGAGGGAUGGGGCUGCAAGCCAGGGGAUGCCUGCAGCCACCAGGAGAUGGGGGGAGGCAGGGAGGAUCCUUUCCCAGAGCCUCUGGAAGGAGUAUGGCCCUGCCUACACCUUGAUUUGGAUUUCUGGCCUCUGAAACUGUGAGAGAACAACUGUCUGCUGUGGAAAGUAACCUAGGUUUGUGGGAAUUCGUUACAGCAGCCCCAGAAAAUGGAACAGCUGCUAAGUGAGACUCCUCAGCCAGGCCAGAGAAUGUGCAUUCUGACGGACUGCUUCUCAUUUGCACUGAUCACUGUGAGUGUCUGAUGGGUGGGCAUCCGGCGCCCAGAGAAGGAGUUGCUCUAUUAUCCUGGCACUCCAUAAAGAACAGGUAGAAAUAAGCGCUUCUUACCAAGAUGAAAUCCACCCAUCAUUUCUGAAUGGCUCAGUUUUGAUUUCAUCUCCCAAGGUCUUCUUUCUGAAACCAGCCCAACUUUUCUCCCAGAGAGUAUCAUGGAACUGAACUUUCAAGAUCAUGGCAUCUGGACAUCGAGAAAACAGAACCCUCAUCUGGCCACCUGCUGCUUUUUGACCAAUUCCCAUAUAAACCGCUAACUUCAGUCAGUUGGAGGGAUGGAUUUGAGAUUUGCCUUCUGUCUCUCAGGUGAUGUCACCAGCAAUAAAGCCUUCUUCCCUGGC